rnacentral:sRNA from 1 species
UCCCAAACCCCUGUGAACAUACCUUUUGUUGCCUCGGCGGGAUCGCCCCGGCGCCUUCGGGCCCGGACCCAGGCGCCCGCCGCAGGACCCUAAACUCUUGUUUUCUAUAUGAAUCUUCUGAGUGACACAAGCAAAUAAAUUAAAACUUUCAACAACGGAUCUCUUGGUUCUGGCAUCGAUGAAGAACGCAGCGAAAUGCGAUAAGUAAUGUGAAUUGCAGAAUUCAGUGAAUCAUCGAAUCUUUGAACGCACAUUGCGCCCGGCAGUAUUCUGCCGGGCAUGCCUGUUCGAGCGUCAUUUCAACCCUCAAGCCCCCGGGCUUGGUGUUGGAGAUCGGCCCGCCCCCGUGGCAGGCCGGCUCCGAAAUCUAGUGGCGGUCCCGCUGUAACUUCCUCUGCGUAGUAGCAAUAUCUCGCACCGGAAAGCGACGGAGCCUUGCCGUAAAACCCCCAACUUCUGAAGGUUGACCUCGGAUCAGGUAGGAAUACCCGCUGAACUUAAGCAUAUCAAUAAGCGGAGGAA